GUUUCAAAUCAAAGAGGGUCAACUUCCAGUUAAACAUGGGGAAUUUAAAGUUCUACAUGGGAACAGUCCUUUGCGUCUAAAUGAAAAAGUUUUGCAAAAUGUUCAUAGCGGGGCAGAGAGCUUCAAUCAGAUAACCAGGUUUGAAAAGGAAAUGAAGUAUAUACGAAACAAGGACGCGACAGAAAAUCUCGAUAUUUCCAAUAAAAAUGAAAACGAAACCAGCAGUUACACAGUAGGAAAUAGAGUGCAGCACGUUACAAGUGUUUCCGUUGAGCGAGAAAAGACUAAGAACCGUUAUACUCAAGAACAUACGACCGG
rnacentral:lncRNA from 1 species